AUGGAAAUAAACCAAAAAAAUCUGCAUUAUCAAAAACAACCACCGCUUUCAAUCCGGCUCCAGUGGCUGACUGCGACUUCUCCUCCUUCCGACGAUUUUUCUGGAGGUCCAUUCUCCCUUUCUUUGCAAGUUCUGGCCAUUUUUUAUCUUUAUCUUCUCCAAUUCUUCACUUUGCGCGAUGUAGCCCGGUUAUAUUCAAAUAUUAAUGGCAAGGCUGCCCGGGGAUUGGUUUUGGAAGGCGAUUCUUCGCGAUGCAUUUGUUUGGAUUUUACUAUUUACUUGUGUAGCAUUGCUUGGUGCAGGACAUAG